rnacentral:rRNA from 1 species
UACGGGGGGGGCAAGCGUUGUUCGGAAUUACUGGGCGUAAAGGGCUCGUAGGCGGCCAACUAAGUCAGACGUGAAAUCCCUCGGCUUAACCGGGGAACUGCGUCUGAUACUGGAUGGCUUGAGUUUGGGAGAGGGAUGCGGAAUUCCAGGUGUAGCGGUGAAAUGCGUAGAUAUCUGGAGGAACACCGGUGGCGAAGGCGGCAUCCUGGACCAAUAUUGACGCUGAGGAGCGAAAGCUAGGGGAGCAAACGGG